AAGUCGUAACAAGGUAACCGUAGGUGAACCUGCGGUUGGAUCAUUAAAAAGAUCACGUCUUGACAAGGAGCCCAAGAAGCUCUCGGGCUCUUUGUCAAGGCUGCUCACCUUACCAGUGAGUAAACAUCAUGUGCACUGUACUGUCUCUGGCGGUGGGAUGGCUAAACACCAUCUGCCAGCAUCCGAGGGUUUCCUCGGUGUGCCGUGGGCAAGCCGCCAAUGGUGUGUUUUUGACACAAAACUUUUUGUUUACUUUUAAUCGUCUGACCCAACUAUGUAUUGAAAAUAUACAAAAACAACUUUUGGCAACGGAUCUCUUGGCUCCC
rnacentral:misc_RNA from 1 species